GAGCCAUGCAGUAAGCACAGAGCGAACUAUUCUUUCGCCUUUUACUAAAGAAUACCGUGUGCUUGCUGCUUUUAGUGGCAUACAAUUACUUUUUGAAGGGCAACUAAUAAGAGUUAAC
rnacentral:snRNA from 1 species